rnacentral:rRNA from 1 species
AGCGAACGCUGGCGGCAGGCCUAACACAUGCAAGUCGAACGAAGUCUUCGGACUUAGCGGCAGACGGGUGAGUAACGCGUGGGAACGUACCCUUUGCUACGGAAUAGCUCCGGGAAACUGGAAUUAAUACCGUAUGUGCCCUACGGGGGAAAGAUUUAUCGGCAAAGGAUCGGCCCGCGUUGGAUUAGCUAGUUGGUGGGGUAAUGGCCUACCAAGGCGACGAUCCAUAGCUGGUCUGAGAGGAUGAUCAGCCACAUUGGGACUGAGACACGGCCCAAACUCCUACGGGAGGCAGCAGUGGGGAAUAUUGGACAAUGGGCGCAAGCCUGAUCCAGCCAUGCCGCGUGAGUGAUGAAGGCCUUAGGGUUGUAAAGCUCUUUCACCGGAGAAGAUAAUGACGGUAUCCGGAGAAGAAGCCCCGGCUAACUUCGUGCCAGCCGCCGCGGUAACAC